UACGUAGGGCGCAAGCGUUGUCCGGAAUUAUUGGGCGUAAAGAGCUCGUAGGCGGCUUGUCACGUCGGGUGUGAAAGCCCGGGGCUUAACCCUGGGUCUGCAUUCGAUACGGGCUAGCUAGAGUGUGGUAGGGGAGAUCGGAAUUCCUGGUGUAGCGGUGAAAUGCGCAGAUAUCAGGAGGAACACCGGUGGCGAAGGCGGAUCUCUGGGCCAUUACUGACGCUGAGGAGCGAAAGCGUGGGGAGCGAACAGG
rnacentral:rRNA from 1 species